rnacentral:rRNA from 1 species
CCUACGGGAGGCAGCAGUGAGGAAUAUUGGUCAAUGGACGAGAGUCUGAACCAGCCAAGUAGCGUGAAGGAUGACUGCACUAUGGGUUGUAAACUUCUUUUAUAUGGGAAUAAAACGUUCCACGUGUGGGAUUUUGUAUGUACCAUAUGAAUAAGGAUCGGCUAACUCCGUGCCAGCAGCCGCGGUAAUACGGAGGAUCCGAGCGUUAUCCGGAUUUAUUGGGUUUAAAGGGAGCGUAGGUGGAUUGUUAAGUCAGUUGUGAAAGUUUGCGGCUCAACCGUAAAAUUGCAGUUGAAACUGGCAGUCUUGAGUACAGUAGAGGUGGGCGGAAUUCGUGGUGUAGCGGUGAAAUGCUUAGAUAUCACGAAGAACUCCGAUUGCGAAGGCAGUUCACUGGACUGCAACUGACACUGAGGCUCGAAAGUGUGGGUAUCAAACAGGAUUAGAUACCCGAGUAGUC